CCUACGGGAGGCAGCAGUGGGGAAUAUUGGACAAUGGGGGGAACCCUGAUCCAGCGACGCCGCGUGAGUGAAGAAGUAUUUCGGUAUGUAAAGCUCUAUCAGCAGGGAAGAAAGAAAUGACGGUACCUGACUAAGAAGCCCCGGCUAACUACGUGCCAGCAGCCGCGGCAAUACGUAGGGGGCAAGCGUUAUCCGGAUUUACUGGGUGUAAAGGGAGCGUAGACGGCGAUGCAAGUCUGAAGUGAAAGGCGGGGGCGCAACCCCAGGACUGCUUUGGAAACUGUAUGGCUGGAGUGCAGGAGAGGUGAGUGGAAUUCGUGGUGUAGCGGUGAAAUGCGUAGAUAUUAGGAGGAACGCCAGUGGCGAAGGCGGCUUACUGGACUGUAACUGACGUUGAGGCUCGAAAGCGUGGGGAGCAAACAGGAUUAGAUACCCCUGUAGUC
rnacentral:rRNA from 1 species